rnacentral:rRNA from 1 species
AUGCUCGCGAAGGUGGACAUGUACCUAGCUGGGUGGGCGGCGCACCUACUCUCGCCGGCCGGCCGUUUGGUCCUCAUCAACACGGUCUUGGAUGCGCUGCCAACGUACGCAAUGGCGGCGCUGCUGCUUCCUCCCUCGGUGGUUCACGCUCUGGACGCCCUGCGCCGCUCCUUCCUCUGGAACGUGGCUGAGCGGGCCACGGGGGCACAAUGCUUGGUCGCGUGGGAACGAGUGUGCCGGGCCAAAAGCGAAGGAGGCAUCGGCGUUCGCGACCUCGCCACCCAGAACACAUGCCUUCUCCUGAAGAUGCUUCAUCGCCUCCACGCGACGCCCCGGUCGCGCUGGGCGGCCUGGAUUUGGAGCAGUGCGAGCGGCCGCUCCAUCCUCAACAGCGGCGAGCUCGCGCGCGGAGAACACCGCGCCUCGGUGGCGAAACUGCUUCCGCUCUACCGCACGAUCACUAGGGUGGCGGUCGGGGACGGCCGGGCCUGCUCUUUCUGGUGGGAUUCCUGGCUUCCCUGCGGGCCUGUGGCGGUGGCGUACCCCGCCCUCUUCUCCCACGCCACGGACGCCGAGGCGACCGUUUGGCAGGUGCGCCGACGUGGCCUGACCGGUUGUCUGGUCCCCAGACUGACCAGGGCGGGCGAGCGUGAACUGCAUGCCGUGUCGGCUCUCCUGGUGGCGGCCACCCCACCCGGUGAGGGGGAGGACACGAGGCAACUACGGCAUGCUGCUGCGCCCCGCAAUGCUCUGUCGUCGAGUGCCGCGUACCGGCUGUUGCGAUUUGGCGAAGCGCGGGCUAGCUUCGCGGAUAUGAUCUGGGGCGCGCGGAUCCCCUCGCGUGUGCAGUUCUUCAGCUGGCUGCUGGUCCAGAGACGUAUACACACUAGAGACGUCCUGCUACGCAAGUGCAUCGUUGCCGCGACGGAAGCCGACUGCCCACUGUGCGUUGCGCCCUUGGAAACGGCCGAUCACAUGCUCUUCGCCUACCCGUUC